ACUACCUUACUUGAACAGGAUCUGUUCCAUAGGUUCCUACCUCUGUCCUUGAGUUCUAAGGAGACAGGAACAUAUGUCUGGAAGAUUGUGUGAUUAAUGGCCUGAUG
rnacentral:snoRNA from 1 species